AUCCUGACUCCUCGGGGAAGGGAUGCACUUAUUAGAUACCAAACUGACCGGGGCAACCCGUCGUCGGUGAUUCAUGAUAAGCAAGCUAACCGUAUGGGCUCGUCCCGACGGUAGGCCAACCAAGUUUCUGCCCUAUCAACUUUCGAUGGUAUUGUAUUGGACUACCAUGGUGAUAACGGGUAACGGGGAAUUAGGGUUCGGUUCCGGAGAGGGAGCCUGAGAGAUGGCUACCACUUCCAAGGAAGGCAGCAGGCGCGCAAAUUACCCAAUCCCAAUACGGGGAGGUAGUGACAAUAAAUAACGAUGCAGGUCUCCUUACGGGGACUUGCAAUCGGAAUGAGUACAAUUUAAAAAGCUUAACAAGGAACAAUUGGAGGGCAAGUCUGGUGCCAGCAGCCGCGGUAAUUCCAGCUCCAAUAGCGUAUAUUAAAGUUGUUGCAGUUAAAAAGCUCGUAGUCGGAAUCAGAGGAGCGGGAACUCUUGGUCGUUCCGGGAGGUCUGUACCGAAGUGCCCACCUCAUACUUCCGGAUCGUCACCUUCUGCUCUUAACUGAGUGGGGGGUGGCUCCGGAUCGUUUACUUUGAAAGAAUUAGGGUGUUUAAAGCAGGCUAAAAUGUUAGCCUUGAAUAGAAUAGCAUGGGAUAAUAGAAUACGACCUCGCUUGUGUUUUGUUGGUUUAGCAGGCGGGGUAAUGAUUAAUAGGGACAGUCGGGGUAAUUCAUAUUUAAUUGUCAGAGGUGAAAUUCUUAGAUUUCUGAAAGAUGAACGUCAGCGAAGGCAUCUUACAAGGAUGUCUCCAUUGAUCAAGAACGAAAGUUAAGGGAUCGAAGACGAUCAGAUACCGUCGUAGUCUUAACCGUAAACGAUACGGACCAGGGAUCGGGUGGCGUUAGUUGUAUGACCCCCUCGGAACCUUAUGAGAAAUCAUAAGUCUUUGCGUUCUGGGGGGAGUAUGGUCGCAAGGCUGAAACUUAAAGGAAUUGACGGAAGGGCACCACCAGGAGUGGAGCCUGCGGCUUAAUUUGACCCAACACGGGAAAACUCACCAGGUCAGGACAUAGCAAGGAUUGACAGAUUGAUAGUUCUUUCUUAAUUUCUAUGGGUGGUGGUGCAUGGCCGUUCUUAGUUGGUGGAGUGAUUUGUCUGGUUAAUUCCGAUAACGAACGAGACCUCAGCUUGUUAAAUAGUGUGGGUAAGCUUCUACACGGGUGAAGCAGUGGUCAUCCUCGUCGCUGGGGCCUUCUGGGUCUUGGUCGGCGAGGGUACUGCUGUGGAUCCUUGAAUGCUUGCUCAUAUCUUCUUAAAGGGACACUUGGCGUUUAGCCAGGGGAAGUGAGGCAAUAACAGGUCUGUGAUGCCCUUAGAUGUCCUGGGCCGCACGCGCGCUACACUGACGCGAGCAACGAGCAUACCUUGUUCGAAAGGACCGGGGAAUCUUGUAAAUCGCGUCGUGUCGGGGAUCGAUUAUUGUAAUUAUUAGUCGUGAACAAGGAAUUCCUAGUAAGCGCAAGUCACUAGCUUGCGCUGAUUACGUCCCUGCCCUUUGUACACACCGCCCGUCGCUCCUACCGAUUGAAUGAUCCGGUGAACCCCUCGGAUUGGUCAGACCAGUUAGCGGGGCAACUCGUUGACUUCUGGCUGAGAAGUUGGGUAAACCUUAUCAUUUAGAGGAAGGAGAAGUCGUAACAAGGUU
rnacentral:rRNA from 1 species